CCUGGGGCUGCCCGAGCACAGGCCCCGGCCCCGGAGCCCCCGUGGGGCAGGGACAAGGGGAAGAGAGGCACCAAGCGGCAGGGAGAGUGUACGGAUGCAUUUAUGAAGGCAAGUGUUGGGUCUUAUUGGCGCCGCACAAGAAACCAACGUGUGAAACCCAGACAUUCACUGUUAGAAACAGGAAGAAGCUGUGGGCCCUUGCUUCAGAUUCUGCAAAAGAUGUACCAAGGCUGAGGAAACUGGCAAAAAGGGAAGAAAUGCCGUAGCAUAACUUUGGGAUGGCAGAUUGUACACAAAUGGGAGGCCUGAGCAGGCUGCUUUUAGCAGGGGAACAUGACCUGACCGCACAGGAGGCAAGGAACUCUCUUCUCUCGCUGACCAUGAGCCCUCAGUUUCAAGGCAGAUGUGAAGAGGAAUAUUUGACCCGUGGGAAAUGCAACUUCAGAUACGUAACCCAGGUGGGACUGCCAUGUGAGCCCUGUGAUAGGAGCCGUGUAUCCCAACCGUGAACGUAGAGGUUGGGCCCAGUUUUUAGCUUGGUUCAAUAUGAACUCUGCUGACUGGUUCUGUGAUCAAGAGCAGGCAAGUCUGCCCCCUGAGAGGAUGUUGUCGUGGGUGGAAGGGUUGAAGUGCAGUGACUGCGUCAAGAAACAGGUGGUUUGAAAAGUCUU